GACGAACGCUGGCGGCGUGCUUAACACAUGCAAGUCGAACGGAAAGGCCCUGCUUUUGUGGGGUGCUCGAGUGGCGAGCGGGUGAGUAACACGUGAGUAACCUGCCCUUGACUUUGGGAUAACUUCAGGAAACUGGGGCUAAUACCGGAUAGGAGCUCCUGCUGCAUGGUGGGGGUUGGAAAGUUUCGGCGGUUGGGGAUGGACUCGCGGCUUAUCAGCUUGUUGGUGGGGUAGUGGCUUACCAAGGCUUUGACGGGUAGCCGGCCUGAGAGGGUGACCGGCGAGCGGGGGAGAAGGGCACGGCGGCAGCAGGGGGGGGGGGGGGAAGGGGGGAAGGGUGCAGGAGGGGGCGAGGCGGGAUGGGGGGGGGGCGAGUGGGGUAUGAGGGCUGGGGGGGUGUAAGCCGCGGCGGGGGGUGACGGAGGGGGAGGGUCGGUAAUGGGAAAAGCAGCGCCGGAUAACGGCGGGCGAGCGGCCGGGAUAAUAAGAGGAAGCGCAGACGGCCGAGC
rnacentral:rRNA from 1 species